rnacentral:lncRNA from 1 species
UCUUGCUUUCAUCCUUGGUUUGAUCGGUUGUCUCCAAGUUAUGCAUAUCAAGUCUCACUUAAGCAAUGUCCAUCUUUCUUGUGAUGUCCAUUAUCUAUAGAUAAUUCCGUCUUUGGACCAUCACACCUGUUUACUUGUGUUGAACCCUGUUAGCUUUGCAUUCAGCACCUGUUCAACACUUAACACACUUGUUAGUCAUUUAAUUGGGUUGUCAUCCAAACACCAAAACCCACAAGAGAGCUUUCAGUCUCCCCCUUUUUGGUGAUUGACAGCAACACAAUUUAAGCUUACAUAAGAAUAAGAUUUAAAGCACAAUUUUUGAAUUCUAAGUUUAUAGAAUGCUCCCCCUAAAUAUGUGUUUACAUCAAAAUCUUAAAUUUGGCCUUAUAUGCCAAAUUGCACAUACUUAGGCUAAUUCGAAGCACUACUAUACCUUAGCACCUGUGGGAUGCAUUUUGUCACUAAUUAAACCGUGAUGCGUAUGACACAUAAAUGCACAGAAUCAGAGUUAAACACCAAUUGAAUAGAUAUACCACAGAAAUAUCAACCUACCACUAUUCACCAUUAAGAUACCAAAUUAAAACUAUUUUAAAGCACCAGAACCACAUGAAUAUCUAUUACAGGAUAAACACAAUAGAUACUAAAUGCUUCAUAUCAACGGAAGCACUGAUUUUGCAUUAUCGCCAUAUAAUACAAUAAGAAGCAUAAGAAGUAUCAACUAACACAUUUUUCCUUAAGACUCAAGGAAACCCCUUUAGGAUAAGCUUUCCUCUCAGGUUGAGAUAAGCUUUAAUGCACAAUUUCUCCCCCUUUGACAUCAAACACCAAAACCAUAUUCAAGCAAGAACAUAGAACGAUGUCAAGGGACAACAGGGUAUUGAGCAGGUAAAUUUUAACACACUAACAUUACUCCCCCUUACACAUUGAACAUAUGCAACACAUGCAUUUGGAGGAGAGUUAAGAUACAUAUACACAAAAGAUCAAUACUUCCUUUUGUAACUUUACCAUGUUGUGGUGUACUUUCCAUCUUGAAAGUUUAAUCUCUAGGGAGCUUCUCCACACUUGUGUCUGAUCCUUUAUCCUAACCUUCUCGGAGGUACCCAAGUCCUAAUUGCUCUAUUUCUUGCUCAUCUUCCCCUUUCCACCUUGAGACUAUACAAGAUCACUCAAGAAGCAAUUUAGUCUCAAAAGACACAAGUUAUGUGUGCUCCCCCUAAAGUUGUGCAACAAGUAUUUGAAUGACUUGCACUUUGCACAUUCUAGCAUCCUCAGAACUAGAGGGGAUCACAACAUAUCUUGGUCUAGACAUAAUCUAUCAAUUUCAUCACAAGGAGAUACCAACUGGAUAUAUGACAUAAUACAACUUGUGACUAGUGGAAACGAUGCAUGCCUCAAGAUAUAUAACAUUUUACAAGCAACCUAGGCACGCUUCACACGUGAUGAUCAUUGCAACACAUACACCAGUUGAAAGAUGAUAAGAUCAUGCAUAUAAAGUACAAUGUCUAACCAUACCAAGAUUAAGAAUUACUUCAUUUUAAGUGCACCAAAGGAAACAACAUUUUAGGGCAUAAGGCACCUAAGCCAAGAUACUAUCAAUUGAAAGGCAAGAACAUAGCUAUGAUCACAAUCAACAAAACUUCAAGAUUUUUAAUGAAAUUGCAUAGUUCUAUUCUCUAUACCUUUGCCUUUACCUGAAUCGCCAUGAGAGCACUUGUUGUUACCAACUUAGGGCUCCUUUUGCUCAUGCACCUCAUAGCUCAAGAAGGUGCAUUAGGCACAACAUGGAUUUGGUAUACACAUAGUACCAACAUAGGGUAAUUAUGUGAACAUGGACUAAACAAGAUGUCAUGCUUGCACAUAGGUUAAUCAUUAAAAAACCAUAUAGCAUGAUUCACAAAAAGAUACAGGUUUAUCCAUGAACACAAAAAGAGUUAAUCAUGGUAAUUAUAUCAAAUGAAAAGCUACCCAUUGAAUGAUUCAAAAGAUAUAACAUCUAGAACGCACAAUCAUGAUUAAGCAAGCAUUAUUAUGAAUUUGAAGAUCAUGAACCAUUGAUAACACAGGCAAUCUCAAAAGCAUAACUACUCCAAGGAUAGGUAUCACAACAAUCCAACUUAAGAGCAAUACUGAUUAUCAAUAAUGUACUUAAUGUACUUAAGAUACACGAGUACCAUCCUUUGGAGAGCAAGUUGCAGAUUCUCAUCAAGGUCCUUUGCUUGAUUAACCAAUAAUGAUUACGGACCUCUACAACUUAUUUCACUUGAGAUGAACAUGGGAUUAGUAUUGCACAAUAAUUCAACCUUGGGUCAAUGAAUAGACAAUAAAAAUUAACAGCUUAAGCAUAGAGUUUGAAUUAACCGUCUUAAGCUCUCCCUUGGUCUCCAGUCCAUCUCGAGGCACCUACAUGGUCUAGUUGGCACAGUUUGGUACCCAUCUCGGGAUGGGUCCAUAACGAUCAUUCAUAAGAGCUUUUGGUACCCAAAUAGCAAUUUUGCUAGUUCUAGGUGAUCUCAUUACUGAUCUAGCACAAGUGUAUGGUUUGGGUCUCCUAAGUGAAUGAGAUUGAGAUAGAUUUACUUGCUUAGGAACCUUACCCUUUUUACAUACCUUGGAUAGAUGACCCUGCUCACCACACUUGUAGCAGAAGCGUUGCUUAACCUGACAUGACGCUUGCUGUUUGUCUUCUUUCUUAGUGGGGGUCAUCCCGGAGAGUGCACGUGCUUGAUUUAUCAUUAGCGGACAAGAAGUGAUCGUAUGGUUCUUAUCAUUGCAUCCGAAGCAUCUCCUUAUCCCUUCAUCCUUGUCGUUGUAUGGACACGACGCAAUGAGGUGUCCUGACUUAUUGCACUUAAAGCACCUCCUUUUCCCUUUUCUAUUUUGUUCUUGGAUGACAUAGAGAAAUGGCCAGUGCAAACAACAUGACUAAUCGAAUCUUUACCUUUUUCCAAGUUCAUGUUGAUUUCUUCAUUUUUAGCAUUAGGAACAUCCUUCUUAUGGAGCUUAACACUUGCUGCAGUUUUUCCCGUCUCAAGCUUCUUCACCACGCGCCCGUGGAUAUCUUGAGAAGGUUGAACAAUGCGUCUUCUCCUUAGUUGCUUUGUUUUCUUGUUCCUUUCUUUAUUGAUGGGCACUUUUUCUUUUGAUCCUGCAGCUUGAUGCUCAUCCAAGAGUUGGCUUUCUUUUGAGCAACCAGGGUUAGCACAUGGUGAUAUAUUAUCUAGAUGUGCACGUGUGCAAGAAUGAGGUUCAUAUGAAUUUAGGUUUGCAACUACAACCUCAUGAGCAAUAUCAAGCAUGAUAUGUCUAUCCAAAAGAUUAUCAUGAUAAUAAGACAAUAUAUCAUAUUUUUCAGUAAGAGCAAGUUUAUCAUGAUUUAGCAAUUCUACAUGCCUCUCAUGCAUGGCAUUUUCCAUUUUAAGUUGAGCAACACAAGAUAAAUCAUCAUCAUUAUUUCUUUGCUCAAUUAAAACUGAAUCAUACCGUUGGACCAAAUCAUCAUGAGAGCACUUUAGCUUCUCAUGUUCUUUGGUCAUCUUCUCUAGGCUGUCGUUGGUUUUGUUGAGAGUCUCCUCUAGCCUGAGAAGCGUCUCGCCUUGUUCCUUGUUCCUUCUCAACAGCUUAACCAAGAGCGCUUUGUCUUCUUUAUUGAGAUGGGUGUAGAAACGACGAAUCUCCUCUUCUUCCACAUCGUCGGUCUCAUUUUUUCCCUGUCAUUAUUGUCAGUGGAAGCAAAACAGGAAAAUGUACCUUGUGAUGAUGUAGACUCCUCAUCCUCAUAUUCCUCCUCAUCAUCGCUUUCAUCUCUACUUUCAUCGUUAGCAGCGGAAUAGAAGAUCAUGUCUCAAAAUGCCCUGCACUUCAAAUAUAACUUGUACCACAGAUAAGUGUUGAAGUGCAGAUAUAAAAAGUGAGUAAGAUAGAGAGUCAGCACACAAUACAGAGCGAAGCACACAGACGCAAGAAUUUAUCCCGAGGUUCGGCCAAGCCUGAAAUGCUUGCCUAGUCCUCGUUGGAGUUAGCCACACCUGGGCUUGGAGUCUAUUUCAACUCCUUCCUACGUUUGCUCAGAUCUGUCAGUAUGACAGAUAGAGCCUUCCACUAUGUUGAGUUGGGUUACAACAAAGCCGCGGCUGCUUACAAUCUUCUUGACAGCACUCCAGCACAGUAACAGUGCGCUCAAGACUUUGCUCUAGCUCUUUGCAGCACCUCUCCACUCUCUAAAAGCUUAUAACUUUGCCUUCACACAAACUAGAGAGAUAUUCACGAGAGUGAGAGAGAGAAUCGAUCUGAGUGAUGUAUACAAUUGUUGGCUGCACUUGUUUGUUUGUUGAAGAUGCCUAGGGGUCCCUUUUAUAGACCCAAGGGGUCUAGGAGCCGUUGGAAUCCAUUUUGGAAGGCAAUACUUGCUUUCUGUCGGGUAGCGCACCGGACAAUCCGGUGCACCACCGGACAGGUCCUGUAGCUUGUCCGAUGCACGAUCUCCUUCCAAAUCGGGUUCACUUGACCGUUGGAGCAACGACCGCCUUGGCUCACCGGACACUGUCCGGUGCACACCGGACAAUCCGGUGGACCAACUAUCCGUUGGCCUAGGCCACGCGUCGCCCGCUGAUCGCGCUGCCGACUGUUGGCGCAGUCGACCGUUGGCUCACCGGACAGUCCGGUGCACCACCGGACAGUCCGGUGAAUUAUAGUCGUAUGCCGCCAAACUUCUCCCGAGAGCAGCCUGUUCACCGGAGUUCAGUCUAGCACACCGGGCACUGUCCGGUGCACCACCGGACACUGUUCGGUGCACCACCGAACAGUCCGGUGUGCCAGACUGAGCUGAGUCUUGGCUGUACACAGCCAAGCCUUUUGCAUCUCUUUUCUUUUCUUCUUUUCUCUGUUUCUAAUACUUAGACAAAUAUAUUAGUACACAAAAACCAAUGUACUAAGUCUAGAAACAUACCUUCUCUUUGAUUUUCACUUCUUUAGUAUUUGGCAUGAUUGAGAUUUAUGUUGGACUCAUAAACCAUCAAGUCAGCUUGACUUGAUCUAUAUUGACAUUUCUAAGCUCCAACAUCCUGCAAAGGUCACAUAGAAUAUCUCCAAUCAUAGGAACAACCCAAACUAAAGGUCAAGGUGCACUUAGCUCUUUUAGGCUGCUUCCAGUUCUGAUUUUGACAUUGGUUCUCCUUCUAGUGUCCUUGUUCACUUUUUGAGCUUGGUCUUGAGCCUUAUGACUUACACCACAUAAUUGUAGACGUUACCUCAUUGGUUGUAAGUCAUGUCCUUAUGUAGUGUUCCUUGAUGCACCAUAACUCUUCUUAACUCGAUCAACCUCGAUUCCGCAAGUCUCCUUCUUCACCCCUCGCUUUGGGUUCCUGGUCUCCUGGACUUUCUCCCGUGCACUCGGUACCUCGAAGCUCUUCUUGCUUUCAUCCUUGGUUUGAUCGGUUGUCGCCAAGUUAUGCAUAUCAAGUCUCACUUAAGCAAUGUCCAUCUUUCUUGUGAUGUCCAUUAUCUAUAGAUAAUUCCAUCUUUGGACCAUCACACCUGUUUACUUGUGUUGAACCCUGUUAGCUUUGCAUUCAGCACCUGUUCAACACUUAACACACUUGUUAGUCCUUUAAUUGGGUUGUCAUCCAAACACCAAAACCCACAAGAUAGCUUUCAAAUUCAACCACCAAAAUUUAUUUAGGAAAAGGUUUGAUCCUAUUUCCCUUUCACCGAUACCAUGUCAGGCACGACCACCAUGUAGUCUCAUAGCUUUAGGCCUAGCCACCUAACGCAAAACACCUCUAGGUCUAGUAGCACGUCUCUGAAUAGGAGGAUCAUGCACAUCAUGAGAAGAUUGUUGCAUGUCCCUACUGCUCUCUCGCAUAUCUCUUCCUCCUAACAAAACACAACCAAGUGAAUACUCUUAGUGGUACCUCACCUCUCUCUUAGGUGGAGUCUUUUUGUGGGAAAGGGUCAUCUUGGGUGGCUGUGGUGCUCUAGAAAGGGGAUCACUAGAGAUAUCGGGCAAAGUAUCAAGUGGCUUCUUUAGAUGGUUAGGUUUGGACAACCACACUUGUUUUUGAGGUGGGGCUCUUGGAGGCUCCUCAAAC